UAAUACGUAGGGUGCGAGCGUUAAUCGGAAUUACUGGGCGUAAAGGGUGCGCAGGCGGUUAUGUAAGUCAGAUGUGAAAUCCCCGGGCUUAACCUGGGAAUUGCGUUUGAAACUACAUGACUAGAGUGUAACAGAGGGAAGUGGAAUUCCAUGUGUAGCAGUGAAAUGCGUAGAGAUAUGGAGGAACAUCGAUGGCGAAGGCAGCUUCCUGGGUUAACACUGACGCUCAUGCACGAAAGCGUGGGGAGCAAACAGGAUUAGAUACCCUGGUAGUCCACGCCCUAAACUAUGUCAACUAGUUGUCGGAUCUUAACAGAUUUGGUAACGUAGCUAACGCGUGAAGUUGACCGCCUGGGGAGUACGGUCGCAAGAUUAAAACUCAAAGGAAUUGACGG
rnacentral:rRNA from 1 species